rnacentral:lncRNA from 1 species
AUCUAAUGAAGGCAUUUGCUGAUUGGUACUAUGAUCGGAACUACACCUAUGUGAUAGAUGAGCGUGACUUGCCAAUCUCUGCUAUGAAUGAUAUUAAACCUUGCGACACCAAGAAGUGACGAUGUGCAUGCAGUGUUCCAUUAAAAUCUAUUUAUGUCAAUGCAUGUACUUUAGUGACAACAACUUGCUGGUAUAUGUGUUGAUUGUUGAUAAUAUAAAUCAAUAAAGUUCUUUUUUUUUUUUUUCAAUUGUGGUUUCAUUCAGUAAAGUUCUUUUUUUUUCUCCGGUUAAAGCUAUCGCUCCUUCAUAAGCCUGGACAAACAUAUAUAGAUGAAUAUAUAAAUAUAUAGGAGGGAGACUUAUCUUACCUCUGUUAGGAUGUCGGUUGAGCAUCCUCAAACCUUUACCAAAUGAUGGAUAAAUAUAUAUGUUCUAGCUUACAAAAUAGUGACUUGAGAGGACUACUAAUCCCUCUUGUCUAUUGCAUAAUUACAAGCAUAUCAAGGAACAUUAAAUUGAUAUCUUCUGCCCAGGCUCCUGUCUAGAGAAAUGGUAUUCUUCGAUUGUUUCAUUCUAAAUGAAAGUAAUUGUAAUAUGUCCAUUCUGUAUUCUCCUCUAGCUUCCUCUGAUAGUUGUUGCAGAUUGUGAAACCAUGUCAUAUUUCUAACUUUCAAGCCAUAAUUGGAUAGUAUAUCAGCAACUUUGUUUCCUUCUCUAUAACAAUAUGUUAUUAUCCUAUCUUCCAUAAGUUCGAGUUUGUUUCUCAAAUCCAGAAUUUAUCAGUUAACUUCCAUGGAAUUUUAGCUUUUCCAAGAAACCAGUUAACCAAUAACAAAGAGUCAAUCUCCACAAUGAUCUUUUUGUAUCCUUUCUCCGCACACCAAUCUAAUCCAGCCUUCAGAACUAAUGAUUCUGCCAUAUUAUUUGUGAUAAUAUCAAAAGGGAUUGCAUAAGCAGCUAAUAAUUCACCAUUAUAAUUUCGAAUAAUCACUCCCCAUGCACUAAGGCUUGUGUUGCCUUUAGAGCAGCCAUCAGAAUUGAUCCUGGCAAAUCCCAAGUUUGGGGGAUUUCAUUUAACAUAGAUAGAUGAGAUUGAGAACUUAUCAUUAUUCACUUUAUCACAAAAAUUCUCCCAGUUCAGAUGAGGACUAACUUUAGGAAAUUGUUUAUAAACAAUUAUACCUAUUUGUUGUUGUAUCUUCCAAAAUAUUCUUUUAGUGGACAUUCUGUCAUUUUCAAAUCUGCAUUUGCAUCUAGCUUUUCAAAUCUGCCAUAUAAUGAUUCCAAGAAGGGCCUGAUGGAUCAAUUUCAGUAAUGGUUUUGAGGUUUUCAUAAACCACCAUUUACGUACAUGUUGUCUAAAAGUAGUUGCAGUUUGAUUCAUCUGGACCCUAAAAGUUUGAUUAAGAUGAUGCCAAAUAGGUCUGCAUAUAUCACUCCCCGUAAAAAUAUAUCUUUCAUCUUUGAUACUUGAGUUGAUAUAGCAUGAACAUUUGGAUGGGAAUUGGAGUCCAAAUCUCUUCAUAUUCUCACCCACAUGGAUCUUAUGUUUGAAUAAUUUUAAUAGGAAAAGGAAUUUUUUUAAGAGAAUCUUCUUAUGCCGCAUCAAAUAAUUAACCAAAGUAGUAUUCUUUUUGCUUCUUAGAUGAUCCCAAGCAUAGCUACAAUUGAAUUUUCCAUCUUUUAAUGAAGUCCAUAUUCGAUAAUCACGUACCACUAGAGAAUUAAUUUUAACUCCCUGGAUAUGUUGUACAAUCCCAGCAUGUAGUAUUUGAGCUAGCUUGGCCACAUCCUAUUCUCUGUUGAUCAUGAAUGAAAAUACAUGAAUUUUAUUUGAUGUAGAAGCCUCUCUAAACUGUGCAAGUUGUCCCAGGCAUGUCCAGUUAUCCCACCACAAACUUGCAUUUCUUUCAUUGAUUUUCCAUAAAAUCAAAUGAUCUACCCUCUUCGUUAUCUCCAUUAAUCUUCUCCAGGUAUUUGAAUUUAGGUAAGACCAUUUCCUAGGUAUAGGGUAUAUCCUGAUGGAAUAUUUGGCUUUCAUGAAGUCAGUCCAUAUCAAAUCUCUGAUUCUGAAUUACCACCAAAGCUUAGCAACAAAAGUAUUAACAAUGUCUUGUAAAGACCUCAAUCCAACUCCUCCUUCACCUAUUGGAUAACAUAAUGUACUCCAAGAUAACCAAUGGUAUUUUUGCUUUCCUUCACUGCUUCCCAAGAAAAAACUGGCAAAUACUCUUUCUAUCUAUUUUACUAUUGUUUUUGGAGGAUGGAAGAUUGGCAAAAGGUGCACUGGCAUAACUGAUAACACAUUUUUAAUUAGGAUCAUUUUCCCUCCAGAGGAUAGUAAGUGACUAUGCCAAGUUCCCACCUUCAAAACAAUUUUAGUGGCCAUAUCAGUGAAAUAAUGGACCCUUUUCCUUCCUGCAUAAACUGGACAUACUAAAUAAGUAAUUGGAGCUCUUUAAGUUGAAUGUUCAAGCAGUUUUCUACUAUGGAUAUCCUUCUGUAAGAUAUGUUGUCUCCUACCAUAAUACAAAUUUUGUUCUUAUUGAUUAGUUAACCAGAUGCCUUUUCGUAUUCUUUCAGUUGCUCCAUCACCAGAUUCAAAGAUGCAGUCUUUCCUGAAGAAAAAAUAAUAAUAUUAUCAGCAUAAGAUAAAUGAUUAAUUCUAGGUCCAUUAGUAUUCAUAGUGAAACCUUUGAAUCUUGGAUUAUCAAAUAAAUAAUUUAAAAUUCUAGAAAGUACGUCUGCAGCUAAUAUAAAUAAAAAGGUGGAUAUGGGGUCUCCAUAUUUUACUCCUCUCUAGAAUUUGAAGAAACCAUAUCUCUUCUCAUUUAUAAUAAUUGUAUACCACAUGUUACGAUAUUCGAAAUUAUAUGUAUCCAUUGCUCCCCAAAUCCCAUUUUACUCAUAACUACACAAGUGAAUUGCCAAGAUAGCCUAUCAUAGGCUUGGUUCAUAUCUAAUUUGACAACAAUAUUUCCUCCAUUAUUUGGCUAUUUGAUGUCAUGAAUGAUAUUGUCACAACCCCGAUUUUCCUCUGUAGAAUAUUGUGAUGGAACCUAGUCUUUACUUCUAGGUAAGCCUAACUAAUAAUAAUAACUCGACAGAAACAAUUAUCAAAAUACUAAAACAAAGCUGAAUACUGAUAUAACCUUUAGAUACAAAUAUAAUCUCAACAGUACGCUCCCCAAUAUCGGUGGAACUGAGUCAUAAGUUCUAUAAAGUAAAACUGGGAUAACUACUACAUCACUGUCUGAAAGAACUACGACAGUAAACAGAACAAAAGGGAAGGUGACUCUAACACCUGUGGAUGUGGAGCAGGUGUACCUUAAAGUCUUCUAAGUAGCAAUUCAAUCAACUCUAGCAUCCGGCAUAGGUAGACGUACCUGGAUCUGUACAAAAAUAUGCAGAAGCAUAGUAUGAAUACACCACAAUAGUACCUAGUAAGUAUCAAGCCUAACAUCCACAGAGUAGUUACGAGGCCAUGUCAAGACACCUACUAGGAUAUAAAUAAGCAGUAUGGAAAUGUAAUGAGGAUAAAUAAUGGAAAGCGAAGAAAUAACUUACACGAUACAAGAUAAUAACAUAAACUAUUACCGAAGAUCAAACAUGGAAAUAACAUAGAGGAAGCAACUAAAGAGAACUAAAAUGAUCAUAUAUAGACAACAACAACUGCUAGAACAAUAAAGAGUGAAACAACAAGAAAUGUUCCCACCAAAACUCUUUGCAGCAAGAAAUAAACAACAAGAAUCACAACGAGGAACCGCCUCGUGUACAAGUAAAUCACAACUGAGGCACCGCCUCGUAUAAUCAAGAAUCACAACUAAGGUACCGUCUCGUAUUCACAUUUCUCAAUUUCAAUCACAACUUUUUCUUGUACCGCCGCGUGAGCCUUACAUUUUAAAAUAGAUUUUGAAAUAGUUUUUCCGAAAUUACUACACGCACUUUAGCCUACUUUAUGACGCUGACGGCUUCACAUAGCUCUCCUACAAGAAACACGCACAUAAGUCUCACCUUAUACCGCCACAUGCACAUCAACCCCAAGCCUUAUACAACUACAUGUGCAUCAAUAUCAUAUUACAAUAACAACUCGCACCACAUGUGACCAUAUAUCACAAUUUGCCAAUAACCCACAAUAUCAGUAUUUCCACAAUAAUAGCUCACGGAUCCACCAUAACGGGAAUAAGAAUAUCAACAAUAAUAAUGAAUGUAAAAUGCUCAAAAGGAAGAUGUUCCAACAAUAACAAUUUCAUCUCAACGUGAUAACGGCUUUCAUAACUUCAAUACCAAUAACUCAACAAGGAAAGAGAUAACGUAAACAAUAACUUCAAAUAAUAGUAAUUAAUACGGAAAGAGGUAACAUGAACAAUGACCUCAAUAAAUGAUAAUCAACAAUAAAAGAGAAAACAUGUAUAAUGACUUCAAAUAAUGGUAAUUGACAAUGAAGAGAUAUCAUGAACAAUAAAUGAGACAGCAAGUUCAACUAAAGCAUGAGAGCAAACUAUCAAUUAGGAGGUAGAAAAGUGUUAACAAAAUUAGUUAAAGCAUGUAAGGAUAGAUAACACAAGUAAGAAUAGAUUGACUAGGAAAAAUAUAACAUGAUAUGGGAUUUCAAUUAAAGCAUAAAAAUAGUCUCAGCAAGCUAAACCGAAAAAUACCACGUACAACUCGUGUACCUACUCAUCACCUUGCGUACACGGAUUUCACUUAGCACAACUGAAUUAAACAAUACCAUUCUUAAGGGGUAAUUUUUCCACAUGAAGUUAGGCAAGACAUUAAUAAGUUACAUGUACUUUGGUUAUAAAUACUUUACUUUAUGUUUUGAUGAUCUAACAAACUUACUAUCCAGAACCAGAUAAGGAACCUGUUACACAUUUACAAGACCUCAAGUUCACGAGAUUCCAGGUUAGAACUCAAUGAGGAAUAUGAUUUAAUUCCUCAAAGUGAAAGGAAUAACUGAGGGACCAGGUCCCUACCAAUUCCCGAGAAAACUGUACGAAGUCAACUCUGCAGUUGGAAAGUUGCUGCCUGCAUACGCUACUGUAUAUAUACAUUCAUUGGAAGUGAUGUCACACAAGUAUAUAUGCAUUCAAGGGAGGUAAAACAAAGCACUUGAACACUCAGAGAUAAUACAUAAGCUUACUCACGUGACUAUUUAGCUAGGAAGUUUCAAGUGCCUCAAAAACAAAGAACAAAGCUACAGACCAGUUCCCACAAUGAGUUAUUAUGUGUCCUUAGUUGAGUUGUAACUUUGUAAUAACUCUUCAUAUUGUAAUUCCUAUCCAUAUAAUUUAGAAGCACUUUAUAGGGACAUCUUUGUAAACCUUAAACCUACGUGUUUAAGUCCUGGCUAGAGUUAGUCAAGUUUAAAAGUCUUUGUAAUAGAGUUAUUGCAAAGUGACUUGUAAUAGGUGUAUUACACGUUAGUGAGGGAUUAAGAGUUUAAUUCCUAGGUUGCAUAGCUUGUAAUCAGAAAGUUUCUCAGUAGUGAAGUUGAAAUCCUAAGGGUAGGUUGUGAUUUUUAAUCCCGUUGAGUUGGGAAUUUUCCACGUAAAAUUCAUCUUGUCAUUUAACUUCUAUUCUCUAUGUGUGUAAUUGUCGAACGUGAUAGAGAACCUAGUUCUCUAUAGAAGUUGGUGGACCCAUAUAUUCUAUCAAUUGGUAUCAGAGAGGGUUCUUUCUAUCAGGUUAACACCUAGAAAGGAUCCUCAUGGCUGCUCCUCCAAACAUCGAAGAAGGCCAAUCCACGUACAAACCUCCUAAGUUCAAUGGUUAAUACUAUGAGUGGUGGAAAACUAGGAUGCAUGACUUCAUAAUGGCCGAAGACUCUGAGUUAUGGGAUGUAAUAUAUGACAGACCUUUUCUCCCGACAAAGAACCUUAGUGAUCCAACUGUAGCCAUCCCCAAGAUGAGGAAAGAAUUCAAUGACGCUGAUAGAAAGUCCAUAUAAAAGAAUUUUUGAGCAAAGAAAAUUCUUGUGUGAGGUAUUGAUACCGAUAAAUAUAAUAAGAUAUCAGCUUGUCAAUCAGUAAAGAGAUCUGGGAGGCUGUUCAGACAGCUCAUGAGGGAACAACUCAGGUGAAGCAAUCCAAGAUUGAUAUGCUCACAACAAAAUAUGAGCUCUUCAAAAUGAAAGAUGAUGAAUCCAUCCAAGAUAUGCAUACUCGAUUCACCUCCAUCAUCAAUGAGCUUCACUCUCUUCGUAAAAGUAUUUCAAGAAACAAGCUUGUCAGAAACAUCCUUAGUGUACUUCCCAGUUCUUGGGAAAGUAAAGUUAACGUCAUUACAGAGGCUAAGGACUUGCAGACACUGAUCAUGGAUGAACUUGUUGAAACUUGAAAACCUAUGAAAUGAAAAAGAAGAAGGACAAUGAAAGAAGAGAGCCCAAGAGAGAGAAGAAUCUGGUCCUCAAGACGGACAACAAUGACUGAAGUGGUGAAGACGAAGACAUAGCUUACUUAACAAAAAGGUCCAGAAGAUGGUUCGUGGGAAUGGAGGCAUUCCAAAAAGGGGAAGCUCUAGCAAACCCAGAAAUUAUGACCUUUGUCAUAAAUAUGGCAAGCCAGAACACUUAAUUAAGGAUAGCCUCCUCCUAAAGCAAGAUCAAUAUAAUAACAACUUUGACAAAGCAGCAAUGAGGAACCAGGUUACUAAUAAACGUUUCAAGAGAAAGAAUGAUGGUGACACCGUUAUAAAGCAAUCUUUUGCUGCAUGAGGAAACUCCUCCAGAAAAACUGAAGAAGAAGACGACCAUGGUGGUAGUUCAAUGAUGGUAGUGGAAAAUUAAACAACUGAUUAUGAUUCAAUCUUUUCCCUAAUGGCUCAAUCUGAUGACGAUGAAGAUGACGACGGAGAUGAGGUAAACUUUCUGGAUGUUCAGAGAAAUCUGAAAUCUUACUCUCCUAAAAAGCUCAUGCCAUUAGCAAAUAUGCUAAUUGAUGCUUACCAUAGUCUUAUCAAUGACAAAGAGGCUUUAACUAUGGAACUAGGGGAAGCUGAACAAACCAGAGAUGACUUAGUAGCUGUUGUAGUUGAUUUGAAAGAAACAAUAGAGAACCUAAAAAGAGAAAAGAAUGCCUUAGAAGAGAAAAUUGCUAGUAUAUAACAUGAACAAGAUGAUUUAAUGGUGGUUGUGGUGUACAUAAAAGAAACCAUUGAGUGUGCAAAUAAAGAAAAGGAAAUCUUGACUGAGAGAGUUGCUAUCAUUGAGAAAGAAAGAGAUGACCUAGUGGUGGUGGUAGUAGACUUGAAAGAAAAAAUUAAAGAUUUUAAAACUACAAAUAGGCCAGGAAACUCUGAAAAGGGAAAGGAAGUUGUAAGUGCAACACACAUUAAUCUUGAAAAUGAGUUAAACUUGGUAAAAACUAGUCUGUGUGCUGAACUUGAGAAAAACAAACAGCUUCAGGAAGAAUUAGGAAAAGUAAAGAGUGAUCUUGAAAAAUCUCAUAAGUGGACUUGGUCCUCGGAUGCUAUCACUGCCAUGUAUACCAACUCUGGGGAAACAGGAAGGGGAUUGGGUUUCAAAGGGUAAAAAGAUUCUCUUCAACCCUCAUAGCAAGUAUGUUACUGUACCCGACAAUUGGUUAUGUACCCACUGUGGCAACAAUGGGCACAGGAAAAUUGCAUGGACAGGGUUCAGUCUCAUCAGAGAAAUAAAGUCUUUUCUGAGAGAGCAACAACUGCAAGAGGACCUGGUCCGUCAAAUAGGAAACCAUCAAACAGGAAACGCAUUUUGCCUGCUUGGAUUAAGAGAGCACUCAUUCAUCCUUUUUCUCUUAACAACUGAACCAAACCUGUUUGGGUUCCUAAAUUUAACCCACGAUUUCCGUGUGCAGAGAGUAGUGAAGGAAAGCAGCCAAUAAUAACACAUGAAUAGUGGCUGCUCAAAGGACAUGACUGGAAAUACAAUCAAUCCUCUUUCACUAAAAAGCCCUGCAAGGAGAGAGUGUAACCUUUUGAAAAUGUUUUUUUUAAAAAGGGGUACGUUCUAGGAGUUAGAAAAUUGGUGUCAAAGGAAAUAAGGUAGAAUACUUAUCUAGGAUAUUCACAAUCUAAAAUCAUGUGACUGGUGAGGUGUUGCUAUAGCCAAAAGACACAAGAGUACAUAUAUUACUGUGAUUGAGCUUCUGCAGAGUGGAGACAUAAGUUGGUUGGAAGCUGUUGAAAACAAUACUGAAUCAUGGGACAAAAUUUUGGAGCAUCACACAUUGUCUAUCUCUAAACAAACUGGAUCUAAAGAACCUAGUUCGUGGUUUGAUCAAGUUAAGUAACAAGUAUUAUGAAGUGUGCAUUGCCUGUGCAAAAGAAAAGCAUGUCAGAUCUUCAUUCAAGCUCAAAAAGGGGCAGACAACACUUCAGAACCAAGGUGAGGUCUUUCAAGAAACUGUGGUUUUUGUCAAGAAGAUCUAGGUACCAAUAGAAACAAAUGCGGCUUGCAUCAGACUAAAUCAUGGAACAGGUUUGGAUGAUGCCAUAAAUGGAUGAACGCUAUGGUGAAAGAAGAACUACUCAACGACUUACCACCUCAGAUAGAGUUGUUGAAAAGAAGAAAAGGACUCUUGAAAACAUGGGCAUGGUCAAUAUUAAUUGAUGAAGAGUUUGCAAACAUCUUGACCAAAGUUGUUGACUCAAGUGAGGAUAUCUGGUAUAACUGUCAUGUUCUCAACAAUGGGAAAUGGCAGCCUUGAAAAUCAGAUGGUAGAAGAGAGGGAGGAAUCCUACUGACAUACUUGUCUCAAAAGAAAACAAAAAUACUAAUCAAGGUAGAGAACUCAUAUUGAUUCCAGCAAGGAACUAGGUCCAGCAUAUACAACAACAAAAGCUGAAAAACAAACUGUUGGAAAGAGGGUUUUUGCAUAGAGACAUCACGGAAUCACUCAUGUAUCUCACUGCAGGUAGACUAGACAUCAUGGUCAGAUUUGAGUUCUGUGCAAGGUCUCAGUCAAAUCCAAGGUAUUCUCAUCUGAAGGAUGGUGUAAGUAUCUUGAGGUAUCCUAGAAGAACACAGAACCUGGUUCUCUACUGUCCUCCAAGUAAAUGGAUAGGAAACGCUCGCCUGAAUUGAGACAAUCUAUGAGUUCCUAUCUUGUCUCAUAAGGCUCAAGGAAGCAGAAUUCAAUGGCAAUCUCAAUAUCUGAAGUAAAAUAUCUAUAAUCAGCAUCUUGAUGUGGUCAAAUACUAUGGACCAAGAAACAAAUUGAAAGAACUCGAGUCCAACUCAAGAGGGCCAAAUACAGUGAUUGUUGAAGAUCAAGUUGCAGACAUCUUUACCAAAAGCCCUAGGAAGAAAGCAUUCUGAGAAAGAUCACCUUGCACUGAGGGAUGAUGAAACAUAACUGAGAACCUGGUUCCUCAUUAUUAGUUAUAAAGUCAUAGUCAGGUAAAAUCUAGCUAAAGUGUUUUCUAGCUAAGUCUAACUCACCUCUAUACCGUUACAGGUAGGCACACAUGAUGACUAUAGAAGCAGAUGUUGCAGUGCAUGAUGAAUAAGGGGAUAAAACUCACUUGUCAAACUUAUCAGGGAACCUAUUUCUCUAACUCAAGUUAGUGGUUUCUUUGUUCCCUCAUACACAAUUUAAAAUGAACAAAAAACAAUGCCACAUCAUCAUCAACAUGACAGUCUAUUUAAAGUCGUGUCUCUUCAUCCAAUAUGUCGCAGCCCAAAUGUCACUCCUCUCUAUAAAUGAUACAUCUCCCAAGCAAAAGGGUGCUACCAUUUUAGAACGGGUCCCUCAUCAUAACUAAAUCACCAUCACAACCCUUGCUCUUCCAAACUCAAAUUUCCCUAUUUGUCCUCUCUCUUCUCAAAUCCAAAGUCCCUCAAGAAAAAUCUCAUCAUGUCUGAAAAUCAAGCAACCAUUAGUAUGCCUGAUAACACUGUGAUUGAGUGAUCACCAGCGAAAAGUUACGUGGUGAACCUCUCCCUAAACCCUAAAGAAGAGUCUCCUCCACACUGCACUCCCUUUCCUACCCUCUUCGAGUCCACUCCUCCUUUAAGCAAGUCUGAAGAUAUCUGUCCUCCUCCAGUUCACCAGUCAAAUAGAGUCAACAGGCUGAACAAGGUAACCUCAUUCAGGAACCUUCUACUAUAUCCAUGGAUUCCGUACCAAUUGUUCGUGAGUUUCCAAAGGUAUUUCCUAUAAACUUGUCGGGGAUGCUGCCCGACAGGGACAUUGACUUUUGCAUUGAUUUGGAUCCGGGAACUCAUCCCAUUUCUAUUCCACCAUACCGUAUAACCCCGCCAGAGUUGAGAGAAUUGAAGGAGCAGUUGUAAGAUUUUCUUGAUAAGGGCUUCAUUAGGUCCAGCGUCUCGCCUGGGGUGUGCCAGUAUUGUUUGUAAAGAAAAAGGAUGGAUCGAUGAGGAUGUGCAUAGAUUAUGUGCAGUUGAACNNNNNNNNNNNNNNNNNNNNNNNNNNNNNNNNNNNNNNNNNNNNNNNNNNNNNNNNNNNNNNNNNNNNNNNNNNNNNNNNNNNNNNNNNNNNNNNNNNNNNNNNNNNNNNNNNNNNNNNNNNNNNNNNNNNNNNNNNNNNNNNNNNNNNNNNNNNNNNNNNNNNNNNNNNNNNNNNNNNNNNNNNNNNNNNNNNNNNNNNNNNNNNNNNNNNNNNNNNNNNNNNNNNNNNNNNNNNNNNNNNNNNNNNNNNNNNNNNNNNNNNNNNNNNNNNNNNNNNNNNNNNNNNNNNNNNNNNNNNNNNNNNNNNNNNNNNNNNNNNNNNNNNNNNNGAUCGAUUUGAGGUCUAGCUACCAUCAGUUGAGGAUUAGGGCAUUUGAUGUCCCCAAGAAAGCUUUUCGGACUUGGUACGGACAUUGUGUAUUUCUAGUGAUGUCAUUUGGGUUCACAAAUGCCCCAGCAACGUUCAUGGAUUUGAUGAACCGAGUGUUGAAGCCCUAUUUGUAUUCCUUCAUGAUCAUUUUUAUUGAUGAUAUCUUGAUCUACUCCCGCAGUUGAGAGGAGCAUGAGAAGCAUCUUCAAGCUAUUCUUCAGACUUUGAGAGACAGCCAGUAAUAUGCUAAGUUUUCAAAAUGUGAGUUUUGAUUGAGUUUAGUUGCAUUCUUGGGUCACAUUGUAUUAGUAGAGAGUAUUCAGGUGGAUCCCAAGAAGAUUGAGGCAGCCAAGGACUGGCCUAGACCCACAUCAGCUACAGAGAUCUGCAGUUUAUUGGGUUUGGCAGGUUUGUGGAGGGGUUUUCAUCUAUAGCAGCCUCGAUGAUCAGGUUGACCCAAAAGGGUGCCCCGUUUAGGUAGUCGAACGAGUGUGAGGCGAGCUUUCAGAAGAUCAAGACCGCUUUGACUAUGGCACCUGUGUUGGUAUUGCCCAUAGGUUCAUGGCCAUAUAUAGUGUAUUGUGAUGCAUCUCGUAUUGGACUUGGUGGGGUAUUGAUGCAGGGUGGCAAGGUUAUUGCAUAUGCUUUGCGAUAGUUGAAGAGUCACGAGAAGAAUUAUCCAGUUCAUGACUUGGAGCUAGCAUCCAUUGUUCACAUGCUGAAGAUUUGGAGGCAUUAUCUAUAUGGCGUGUCGUCUGAGGUGUUCACGGAUCAUAAGAGUUUGCAGCAUUUGUUUAAGAAAAAUAAGCUCAAUUUGAUCCAGAGAAGGUGGUUGGAGCUAUUGAAAGACUAUGAUAUCACCAUCUUGUAUCAUCCCGGGAAGGCCAAUGUAGUGACCGAUGCUUUGAGUAGGAAGUCAGUUAGUAUGGGCAGCCUUGCGUAUAUUCCAGUCGGUGAGAGACCACUUACUUAAGAUGUUCAGGAUUUGGCCAAUCAGUUUGUGAGGUUGGAUAUUUCUGAGCCUAGCCGUGUUCUAGCUUGUACAAUCGCUCGGUCUUCCUUGUUUGAGAGUAUCAGGGUGUGACACUAUGAUGAUCCCUAUUUGCUUGUCCUUAGGGACACAGAGUGACACAGAGAUGCCAAGCAGGUUAUAGUUGGAGAUGAUUGAGUUUUGAGGAUGCAGGGUCUUAUUUGUGUGCCUAAUGUGAAUGGGCUUCGUGAGUUGAUUCUGGAGGAGGCUCCAGUUCCCGCUAUUCUACUCAUCCGGGCGCCGCUAAGAUGUAUCAAGACUUGCAGCAGCAUUAUUGGUGGAGGAGGAUGAAGAAAGAUAUUGUUGCAUAUGUAGCUUGAUGUUUGAAUUGUCAGCAAGUAAAGAACGAGCAUUAGAGACCUGGUGGUUUGCUUCAGAAGAUAGAGAUUCCUGAGUGGAAGUGAGAGCGUAUCACUAUAGAUUUCAUUUUUAGACUCCCACAGACUCAGAGGAAGUUCGAUUCAUUAUGGGUUAUUAUGGAUAGGCUAACUAAGUCAGCACAUUUCAUUCCUAUGACAGUUUCCUAUUCUUCGAAGCGGUUGGCAAAUAUCUAUAUCAGUGAGAUCGUUCGUCAUCAUGGUGUGCCCGUGUCUAUCAUUUCUGAUCGAGGUACGUAUUUUACCUCGCAUUUCUGGAGGGCAGUUCAGCGUGAGUUGGGUAAGAGGGUUGAGUUGAGCACAUCAUUUCAUCCUUAGAUGGACGGACAAUCCGAGCGUACCAUUCAGAUCUUGGAGGACAUGCUUCGCGCCUGUGUUAUUGACUUUGGAGGUUCUUGGGAUCGGUUCUUGUCGAUAGCGGAGUUUGCCUACACAACAGUUAUCAGUCGAGCAUCCAGAUGGCUCCUUAUGAGGCAUUGUAUGGCAGACAAUGGCGAUCACCGAUUGGAUGGUUUGAGCCGAGAGAAGCUUAGUUAUUGGGUCCAGAUUUGGUACAGGAUGCCUUGGAUAAGUUUAAGAUCAUUCAGGAUAGACUUCGUACAGCUCAGUCCAGGCAGAAGAGUUAUGCCGACUGUAAGGUUCGUGAUGUGGCAUUCAUGGUCAGAGAGAGAGAGAGUGUGUUGCUUCGGGUGUCAUGCAGUUUAGGAAGAAGGGCACGUUAAGCCCUAGAUUCAUCGGGCCUUUUGAGAUUUUUGAUCGAGUGGGAGAGGUGGCUUACAAACUUGCAUUGCCACCAUGCUUAUCAACGGUACAUCUGGUGUUUCAUGUGUCCAUGCUUUGUAAGUAUCACGGCGAUCCAUCCUACGUGUUAGAUUUCAGCACAUUCUAGUUGGACUAGGAUUUGACCUACGAGGAGGAGCCGAUAGCUAUUCUAGACUGGCAUGUUCGUCAGUUGAGGUCAUAGGGUUAUUCUUCGGUUCAUGUGCAAUGGAGAGGUCAGCCUGUUGAGGCAGCUACCUGGGAGUUCGAGUCCGAUAUGCAGAGCAGAUAUCCCCAUCUUUUCCCUUGCUCAGGUACUUUUCUAUGUUCGUUCGAGGACGAACGGUUAUUUUAGAGGUGGAGAAUGUGAUGACCCAAAAGGUCAUCUCGUGUUUUCGAACCCAAUCCAGGGUUUUAAGGCCUUCAAAACCUCAUCUUACUUCUCCUCGAUUUGUGUGCGCAAUCCAGGCGUAUUUUCAGAAAGCCUUUAUGUGAAAAUUUCAGAAAAUAAUGAUUUUUGUCUUUAAAAGUGAUUUUAGCUGGCUACGGUUAACAUUUUGAAUAAACGGACCCGGACCCUGUGUUUUGAUGGUCCCGAAGGAUCCGCAGUAAAAUAUGGAAUCUGGGGGUAUGCCCGGAAUCAAAUUUCGAGGUUCCUAGCCCCAGAAAUGAUUUUUUGAUGAAACUUGUUAAACUGAAAUUAUAAUGGUUAAUAGUUGAUAUCGUUGGUAUCGGUUCCGUAUUUUGGUUCAGGAGCCCGGUAUAGGUCCGUUAUGAUAUUUAUACCUUUUUUGUGAAAUUUGGUUAGAAACAGAACUGAUUUGACGUGAUUUGGAUCUUUUGUUUGAGAAAAUAGAACUUUUGAACUUUAUUGAAAAUUUCAUGCAAUUUGAUGCUAAAUUCGUAGUUCUAGGUGUUAUUUUGGCAAUUUGAUCACGCGAUCAAGUCCGUAUGAUGUUUUUAGACUUGUGUGCAGGUUUGAUUUGGAGCCGAGCAUCUCGGGUGAGUUUCGGAUAGGCUACAGGAUGUUUUAUACUUAGAAAAUCUGGUAUUUUUGCUGCAGCAGUUGUUCUGAUAUGCCCUUCUUCGCGUUCGCGUAGGUAGUCUUGCGAACACAAAAGGUAAAGAGGGGCAGGGGGAAAUUUCUUCUUCGCGAACGCGAAUGACAGGUCGCGAAUGCGGUGCAGUGGGGGCUUCACCCUUCGCAAACGCGACCCGUCUACCGCAAACGUGAAGCAUGGGACCUGGGGGAGGGGAAGUUAACUCAUCGCAAAUGUGACACUUGGAUUGCGAAAGCAGAGGCUUGAGGGAUAUGCCUUCGCGAAUGCGAUGUGUUACUCGUGAACGUGAAGGCUAAUAAGGCCAAAGCUUCGCGAACGCGAUAGGCUUCUUGCGAAUGCGAAGAAGGCUUGUCCAGUGUUUUAAAAUCAGAACUAAAAACAGGAUUAGGCCAUUCUUUCAUAUUUUCAAAAACUAGAAGGCACAGAGGCGAUUUUCAAGAGACAACUUCUUUCCUAAAGUGUUGGUGAAUGAUUCUAAACUACAUUCUUUCCAUUACUCAUUACAUUUCAUCAAUUUUAACAAAAAAUCUAGGGUUUUCAUGGUGGAAAUUGGGGGUUUGGGUAGAAUUAGGAAUUUUUGUAUAAUUAAAAUUUAGACCUCGAUUUGGGAUCGCAUUUCAAAAUUAAUAACCUAUUUGGGCUCGUGGGUGAAUGGGUGAAUGGGUUUUGGUCCGAACCUCGAGUUUUGACAAAGCGGGCCCGGGGUCGAUUUUUACUUUUUGGGAAAAAUGUUAGGAAACCUAUAAUUAUGUAUUGGAAUUGAUUUAUUUAGCAAUAAUUGAAGUUAUUAAGUUAAUUGUGACUAGAUACGGGUAUUUUGGAGGUGAAAACUAAGAGAAAAGCGGUGUUUGAGGCUUGAGUUCGGCCGUGGAAUCGAGGUAAGUGUUGUGGCUAACCUUAGCUUGAGGGAUUUGGUAUUGUUUCUUUAUUUGCUAUGUGUUUGGUUGUUGAGUACGACGUAUAGGUGAGGUGACGAGUACAUAUACAUUGUUGUCGGGUCAUAGUAUGUGAGUGAGUCUUAUCCUUGUGACUAUUGUUUUCUUUAUUCGUAUUGUUCAUGCUUAAACUGGUUAUUCUUCAUGUUAAACAAAUCUUAUCAUGUUUUCCUGGAAUUUGAUAUUGGCUGAGUAUUGAGUUGAGAUUUAUAUUGUGAAGUUAAAUAUUGAAACGAGGUUGGUUAUUGAUAUUCUCUUGUCGGGUUGUUAUUGUUCUGUUGUUUGGGUGAGGAAGAGCAUAAAGCACGUAGGGUGAUGUCGUGCAAUGUUUUGUGAGUGAGUGUUAAUGCACGAAAGGUGAUGUCGUGCCAUAUUUUGUGAGCGUUAAUGCACGAAGGGUGAUACCGUAUCAUAUUCUGAGAGUGUUAAUGCACGAAAGGUGAUGUCGUGCCAUGUUAUGAGAGAGUUAAUGCACGAAGGGUGAUGCCGUGCCAUUUCUAUUGUUUCUUAUGGUAAGGACAAGAGUAAAAGCACGAAGGGUGAUCCCAUGCACAUGUUUGCUAUGUUAUUACUUCCGUUGGUACAAAGCACGAUAUUUACUGUGUUCUGUACAGUACUACUUUCAGGAUUUGAUAUUCCCCUCAGCAUGUUUCCCCCUUCCCCGUUAUUAUAUGCUAAAUUUCCAUUUGUUUUUAUUUUCUCAUAUAUGAUUUAACUGUACAGGUUCAUGAUAUUGUCGUGUCCUGGCCUCGUCACUACUUCGCCGAGGUUAGGCUCGGCACUUACUAGUACAUGAUAUCGGUUGUACUGAUACUCCACUCUGCAUUUUCUAUGCAGAUUUUGGUACCGAACCUCGCUGAUCAGAGUUGGGUUGCUGCCUUCAGUCCAUCAGGAGACCUAAGGUAGAUCUGUCAGCGUUCGCAGACCUUGGAGUCCCCUUCCAUUUAUCCUAGUCUUCCUGUUUUCUUUUAAUUCGAGAACAGAUGUAUUUUCUUUAAACCAAUAUUUGUAGUAACUCUUAGAAGUUCAUGGAUUGUGACACCAAAUUUUGGGUAGUCGUGUAUUAGUGUUUGAAUUAUUAUAAACUUCCGCACUUCUUACUUUGUUUUGGUUUAAAUUAUUGAUAUUUAUUGUUUUGAAUAACGGUUAUUAUAGUAAAUCUUUAUCUGUUGGCUUGCCUAGCAUUCUAACAGUUAGGCGCCAUCACGAUCUCGACGGUGGGAAAACCUGGUCGUGACAAUAACGCAUCGCUGUAUUUUCUUUCUUCAAUCACUUUUAUGAGUUAAACAGUAUUGAACUAUUAGGAUCGAAAUAUCAUGUGUUAUGCGGAAGCUACUAAAGCAAGCCUUCAACGACGAUAAAUCAGACCACAAAAGAGAAAUAUACCAAAAGAGACACAAACAUUUAACGUGUUGACUUACGUCCAUAGAUGGAGAUGAGAAAUCAUUUAUAUAAAAGAGAGUACAAAAUAUCGUGAGAACAACCGUACAAAGGGACAAACACAAGUGGCACAUUAACACUUGUCCCGAAAAGUUCUCCUCCUAAACAAGACUUUCAUACCCUAUAUGGCUACAUUGUGGAUGCUAUUGAAUGAGAAGGAAUGAUCCUCAAUUUUUAGAAAUCCAAACAUUUUCCUCCAAGAAAAGGGACUAGUCAAAUAUGGAAGAAUUAUAAUUUUCUUCUAGGAAAAGAAAAACCUAAUAAUGAUAAAUAUGUUGCCCUUUCCUUCAAGAGAUAAGAAAAUCAAAUAUAAUAAAAAAAUUCAAUUAUGGUAAAUAUAUACUCAAUUAUAAUUUGAGUACACAAUAAUAAAUAUAUAAGAUACUUAGAGCUGAUCAACUAGUAUAAGAUCGAGAUGUGGUUGAUUGAUAGCUUAAAAGUAUUUUUCUAAAGCAGAAACUUUCUAAGUAAUUAAAUUUUGAACUGCAUGCGUAAAUUAUAAUUACUACAAAUAAAGUUGUGGCCCCUAGUAGCCUUGCAAAUCUUGAGGUUUCAAUGAAAGAUAGAUACUAAUGGAAAGACAGACAUGUGGUGUUAAAUUGUUAAUAUUUCUCUCGUCUAUGGCAUGCCUAUUUUCUCUGCACUAACUUCAACCAUCGUACCCUAAAAAUUCUCUAUAUAUAGAUCAAAUUUUAUCAGUUGGGAAAAACAAAAUAAAUCUUUUGCCAACAUAUAUAUAUAUAUAAAGUACGUGCAUGUAGAAUAAUUCCUUUUUUCUUCUCAAACAUGCAAAUAUACUUCUAUACUGCCAAGAUAUGAUCAGUUUCUUAUUUCCCUUUGUUGUUUUAUGUUUUACAGGAUGAUGAUGGCCAAAACAUUUCAAUUUGUCUGUGUACUUAUUUGUUUUUUGGCCAUUAUUAUCAACAUUGAGGCUUGUGUAAAAGAAAAUGCAACAUCAUACAUAGAUCAGGGAUAUUAUGUCGAAAAAACAGUCGUUCACAAUGCUGUAUCGAAAGGAGCAGGUUAAUUUCCUUCAGUAAUUUUAUGUACAUUUCGUCUAAGUAUAUGGCCAACGGUCUAUUGGAAAAAGUCUUGUCCCAGAUUUCAUUAUGUAAAAUUAUACUGGGUAUGUGUAUCAUCGUCUCAAUUAAAAGAUUAAGUUGUGGGCUUAAUUUUUUUUAAUGGGCCAAGCACAUAAAAAUUAUAACAGGUGGCAGCAAGACUUGACCCAAGGAACUCUACAUGAUCUGAUACCAUGUUGAAAUAUGUGACCAUCUUAUUUAAAAUUGAAAUUGUUAGAGAAAACACACAUUUAUUUAUUUAGUUACAUUCUCCACACAUUUAAUAUAAUUAAACUAAAUAAUUUUUGAAUUGUGAAAAGAGUUAUAGUAACAUUUUUUUUUAAUAUGGCAGUGUGCUUGGACGGAUCACCUCCAGCAUACCAUUUUGAACCAGGAUUUGGAGAUGGAGUGGGAAAAUGGCUUGUUCAUCUUUCGGUAAGUCAUAUCUAAUUCACUAUAGCUACAAUUGUUAGGGUCAAACGAACAGGCAAUUAUACGUGGUCGACUGAUGAGUAGAGUAUCGUCCUCACAAUGAUUUAUGAUUAAUUAUGAACUAAAUUAAAUUAUUUAUGAAUUUUCCCCAAGAUAUAUAUAUAUAUAGAGUGUUUGUUUGAAGUGUAUUUUUUUUUUUUGGAAAACUCUCACAUUGUACUUAGGGAGGAGCAUGGUGCACAACCGUCGAAGAGUGUCUAAAUCGUUCCAAAUCUGAUUUUGGUUCCUCAAACUAUAUGAAACCAUGGUGGUUUCAAGGAAUUUACAGCAAGACUCAGAGUGUAAAUCCAGGUAUCUCUUUGAUUAAACUAGUAGAAGAUUUUAUUUUUUUUAAUUUUUAUCACAGCUGUUUUAUUUUUUAAUUUGAUGUUGCCUUAAUUGUUACAUUAUUAUUCUGUUUAGUUUGACAUGUCAUGAUCUGUUUUCUUGAUGGAAAAUAUGCAGAUUUCUACAAUUGGAACAAAGUAUUUGUUAGAUACUGUGAUGGUGGAGCGUUCACAGGAAAUGCUGAAUACGUUGAUCCUGUAUGUUCCCUAAUUUUAAUUUGCUAUAUAAUUUAUCAUUUAUAAUAUGUAGACAUUUAAUAGAGAAGUCUAAUCACAUUCUUCCUUUUAUUUUUAAGGCUACCAAUCUUCACUUUAGGGGCGCAAGGAUUUUUAAAGCAGUAAUGGAGGAUGUUCUAGCAAAAGGAUUGAAGAACGCGCAGAGCGUAAGUAAAUUUUAAUUUGUCCACUAUUUUCAGCGAAAAAAAUCAGAAAUAGCUAAAUUUACAACUGCUAAUUAAAAAUUAUCCAUAAUUUUAAAAGUAAAAGAAAUUUAGCUACUUUUUCAUAAAAAUAAUAUUUGAACAAAAAUACUUUUAAAGUCUGAAAAAUUUCCAGCAUAAUAUAUUCCAGUAUAAUAUGCUGGAAUUCUAGUAUAAUAUGUUGGAAGUUUAUACGCAGGAGCUCUAUAAUUCAACAAAUUAUAUGCUGGAACUUUUGGUGUUUCAGCUAGGGUAUUUUUGUUCAGAUUUUAUCUCAACAUAAAAUAAUGAUUAUUUUUCAAAGACUUGGCAAAUACUAGCUAUUUUUUUUUUUUACAUUUUUCAUCAACUGCUCCGCUAAAAUAGAGAACUUUAUCGUAUGGACCGCUUUACCCCUGAUAGACUUAUUCGAUACAAAUACAGAUUAAGCAGCUUACUAUAGGUUAUCUCUGCCACUCUUAAUACAUGCUCAUAUAAGUUAAUUAUUGCAGGCACUUCUUAUCGGAAGUUCUGCCGCAGGAUACCCAGCAAUGCUAUACUGUGAUCGCUUCCGUAAAUUGUUGCCAAAUACUCCUAGAGUGAAAUGCAUGGUUGAUGCUGGUUAUUUUAUUCAUGUGUAAGAUUUUUAUGCCUACACGUAUUUUUUUAUUUAACAAAUGAUAUUUAUAACUGCAUUCUAACUUUGGAGCUUUCUCUUUCUAAUUAUAGGAAGGAUCCACACCAAGCAAGAAAUUUCACGGAAAUGUAUAAAGCAAUUGUUAAUUUACAUGUAAAUUCCUAUUCCUUAGUUAAUUACGUAGUAUCUUUUUUUUUUUUUGAAAAAUUUCAUGAUAAAUAGAAAAAAGAAAAAACGACACAUGUUGGUUUGUGUGAUCUUAACCUAAUUAUCUGAGCUACUGUGCAGGGAUCUGCCAAAACGUUACCAAAAUCAUGCACAAAAAAGAUGAAACCAGAAAUGGUACAAACUGCUACCUAUUGAUUUAGUUCAUGUUGUUUUGGUCUUUUUGCAUGUAAAGUAAUGUUCCAAUUCACUACACGCAGUGCUUCUUCCCGGAGAACAUGCAACACAAAAUCAAGACACCACUUUAUAUUGCAAUGUCGGCAUUUGAUAAAUUCCAGGUACUUUGAUAUUUAUCAAUUGUUAUCCUUCUAUUUACUAUGGUCCGUGACAAAAUCAAGAAUUCACUUAGGGUAAUCAAAAUUUAAUAUAUAAACGUUUAAAAGUAAUAUUUAACCUAUAUACAUCAGUGGCAUAACUAGAAUAGAAGCUAUGAGUUCAAUCAAUCCCAUAAAGUUUAAAUUCUAGAUCUGCCUCUGAUAUGCACUGUAUUUUUUGGCAAAGUGGAAGCUUUACAUUAUUUUCUGCAUAUGCUAUUUUGCAGAUAAACACUACUAUAUACGAUGGGAUAAAUAUAUGCAUUGAAGGCGGAAAUUGCACUGCAACUGAGAACAAACUCUUCAGAGGUUAGUACUUUUAGUGUAACUUUAAUUACUUCUUUUAAUUAUUAAUAUUAUUCGUUGGUGUAUAUUCUAAUACUUCUGGAUUUGAUAUUUCAGAGUUUAGGUUGGAAUUCUUAAAUGCUUUGCCCAAAGCAAAUAAUCCUAAAUUAAGAGGAGCUUUCAUUGACGCACGCAAUCAUCAUACCCAAGUCCAAGGAUGGUGGUCUCCUAAAAAUGUCACCACCGUCAAAAAUUUGGUACGUAGGAUUAUAUAUUUAUUUAUUUAUUUAUUUAAAAGGGGAGUCUUGUCGUCACUGGUAAAAUUGUUGCUGCGUGAGCUGUUCGAGCUUUGGAAAAAGCCUCUUGCAGAUAUGCACGGGUAAGAUUGCGUAUAAUACACCCAUGUGGUCCGGCCCUUCCCCGGACCUGCACAUAGCGAGAGCUUCAUGUGAUUAGGAGAUCACGGGUUCGAGCUGUGGAAAUAGCCUUGUGCAGAAAUGGGAGAAGGGUAAGGCUGCGUACAAUAGGCCCUUGUAGUCUAGCCCUUCCCCGGACCCGCGCAUAGCGAGAACUUCAUGUGAUUAGGAGGUCACGGGUUCGAGUUGUUGAAACAACCUCUUGCAGAAAUGGGAGUAGGGUGAGACUGCAUAUAAUAGACCCUUGUGGUCCAGUCCUUCCCCGACCCCGCGCAUAGCGAGAGCUUAGAUGUCCACUAGGCUGCCCUUUUUAUUUAUUUAUUUAUUUAUGUUUGGAAUUGUAUACUUAUUAACUUAUGGCUAUUGCUUAGAACAAGAAAUUUAAGGAAAAAAGAAAUUAAAGGAAAUAUAGUAGUUUUAUUAUGAUAUUAAAUGAAGUGUUUUAUAUAUGCAGAAUCUAAUGAAGGCAUUUGCUGAUUGGUACUAUGAUCGGAACUACACCUAUGUGAUAGAUGAGCGUGACUUGCCAAUUUCUGCUAUGAAUGAUAUUAAACCUUGCGAUACCUAGAAGUGACGAUGUGCGGUGUUUAAUUAAAAUCUAUUUAUGUCAAUGCAUGUAUUUUAGUGACAACAGCUUCCUGAUGUAUGCGUUGAUUGUUGGUAAUAUAAAUCAAUAAAGUUCAAUUGUGGUUUAAUUCAGUAAAGUCCAAAAAGAUGAAUGUGAAUUUGUUUAGUUCUUUGUUGUCUCGGA